rnacentral:rRNA from 1 species
GACGAACGCUGGCGGCGCGCCUAACACAUGCAAGUCGAACGAGCGGGGGAGAGCUUGCUUUCUCGCGCGAGUGGCGAGCGGGUGAGUAACCCGUGAGGAACCUGACUCAAAGAGGGGGACAACAGUUGGAAACGACAGCUAAUACCGCAUAAGCCCACGACCGCGCGAGGGGGGGAGGGAAAAGGAGCAAUCCGCUGGGAGAUGGACACGCGUCCGAUUAGCUGGUUGGUGAGGUGACGGCCCACCAAGGCGACGAUCGGUAGCCGGAGUGAGGGGGUGAACGGCCACAUUGGGUCUGAGACACGGCCCAGACCCCUGCGGGAGGCAGCAGUGGGGAAUAUUGCACAAUGGGGGAAACCGUGAUGCAGCGGCGCCGCGUGGAUGAAGAAGGUCUGCGGAUUGUAAACUCCUGUUGGUGAGGAAGAUAAUGACGGUACUUGACAAGGAAGCAACGGCUAACUACGUG